CUCGGAGGAUGGGCGGAAAUUUUUAAGGUGAUCUUUUGGUUGGUGCAGAUGGCAAGGUACCAUGUGUUCCUUGAUCACAAACAAUAUUUCGUCCCCUCAGAUGUUGGUGGUGGUAAAAUGCAGUGGUACACAUCUCAAAAGGAACCAGCUGGUGGUACUGAUUCUGAAAAUGAUGAGUGCCCAGGAUGAAGAUUUCAAUCGAUUAAAUGAAAGAAGGUAUAGCUUGAAGUGAGCACAGCAGGUUGAUGAUGCAGCAUGGAGCAAGCAACACUUGUUGGUUAUGAUUACUUUUUUGACGAUAUAGCAUCAGAGACCUCGGUUCUCGAUAAUCUAUGAAAAAGCAAGAAGAUAGUAUAUGGCACACCAGUUGCCAACUACAUCAUCUGCAGAUUUCGUGCAUGGUGAUGCUUAACUGGCAUCCUUCAGAGCUCCUUCGGGUUGAUUCAAGUUAAUGACUGAACACACUUGUAUUCUAGAGGUCCCUUUACCUUGUCCAUUUUGCUGGCCUUACAUUCAAUACUCGGAUUCUGUAGAGCAAUUCCAGCCAACAGUGAAUUUAUAUAUUGGUGCUUAGAACUUGGUUGUUCC